UGGCUCUCGCAUCGAUGAAGAACGCAGCGAAAUGCGAUAAGUAAUGUGAAUUGCAGAAUUCAGUGAAUCAUCGAAUCUUUGAACGCAUCUUGCGCUCCAUGGUAUUCCGUGGAGCAUGCCUGUUUGAGUGUCACGUCAACCCUCACCGCUUGCGAUGUCAAAGUCGCUCGAGGUGGAUUUGGACCGUGCCGCGUUUCGCGGCUCGUCUUGAAAUGCAUUAGCUUUCGCUCUUUAGAGUGCUCGGCACCGGUGUGAUAAUUAUCUGCGCCAACGCCUUAGGCCUCUUCAGUGGCGCUGCUUACAGUCGUCCGGACGGACAAUUUAUUAAAGCUUUGGCCUCAAAUCAGGUAGGACUACCCGCUGA
rnacentral:misc_RNA from 1 species